AGUAGAGGUGAAGUACAGAGAGAGACACAGGUGAGGUGGUACAGAGAAGUAGAGGUGAAGUACAGGGAGAGACACAGGUGAGGUGUCAGAGUCCACUCAUAAAGUCAUAAAAAGCCAGUGUGAUAUCAUCAGGUGAGUCUCCAGGUGUGCAGCAGCAGGUCUCUCAGUGAUCUUGGCUGUUUGUCCUGAACCCGUCUCACCUGUCUCACCUGACCUGGCUGCUGCAGAGUGUGAGUGACUUUCCUGUUGACUCCCAGAGAGAACGUCGACCUCCAUACCUGCUCAGCAGGAACAACAUGGAGUCCAGAGAGGAAGAACAAGAGGACGACACUCUCAGGUCGUUUCUGGCAGCCAAAGACACUGAGAACAUCAACACCACCAGCAACAGUAUUACGACUAACGCUACUGAUACUACAGAUACCACAGAUACUACUGAUACUACAGAUACUACAGAUACUA